UUAGAAAGGGAGAUGAGACAGAGACAGAGAGAGAGAUUUCAGCGAUUUGAAAAUUCAUCCCUUUCACACAAGCUCUGCAAAUCAAUCUUCCUUUCUUUUCUAUCUACCGUUUGCAUAUUUCUCUCACCAAUUAUCAACGCCGGUUCUUGCUCAGAAACUUUUGCGCUUUUGCAAAAUUCUUUUGUUUGAAAACCCUCAACCCUUACAAGUUUCUGCCUUUUUUGAAUUUAGUCGGAAUCCAAUUUCUUGCUCACAUAACGUAGCGUUUCCUGGUGAGUUUUUCGUCUUUCUCAGUGUGCUUGAUUUUUACUUUUUUUUUGGAUUUGUGUGUGGUUGCCUGAUUUGAUUUGGUUUUUGCUUUCAGGAAAAGCUGGGUUUCGAAUUUUGGGGUUUUUGCAUACAAGAUUGGAAGCCCUUUCUUAUCAAGUUGGAAGAAAAUGGAAACCCUAUCAAAGUCUGUAACUACAAGCAAACAUGAGAAGACACAAAUCGGAUUGAGUGAGAGAUAUAUGUUUUGGAAUCAGACAGAAUCCCUUUAACCACGGAGACUAUUUUUGUUGCUUCCUUAUGCACACGAGGCAAUUCAACGAGGUGAUUCUGAGCAGAGAGUACUCAAGGAGUGCAUGUUUCAGGACCUGAGCUGGGCGAACAAGAAGCAUCGGUUUGUUUCGAGAUUUUUAAUGGUGUGCUUGCUCUUGAAUCGGCGAGAGAUGGUGCAGCAGCUGCUCAAUCAGCUCAGAGUCGUGGUUGAUAAGCGCAAGAGGACA